rnacentral:rRNA from 1 species
UACAGAGGGUGCGAGCGUUGUCCGGAAUCACUGGGCGUAAAGGGCGCGUAGGCGGUCUCUUAAGCGUGUGGUGAAAGCCCGGGGCUCAACUCCGGAAUUGCCUUUAAGACUGCAUCGCUAGAAUUGUGGAGAGGUAAGUGGAAUUCCGAGUGUAGAGGUGAAAUUCGUAGAUAUUCGGAAGAACACCAGUGGCGAAGGCGACUUACUGGACACAUAUUGACGCUGGGGUGCGAAAGCGUGGGGAGCAAACAGG